AUGUUAGUUAAGAACAUGGGGACAUAUUCCUCUGUGACAGGAGGGAGAAUUGAGGACGGGGAGUUAAGGAAGCUCUUCCUGGAUAGCCUAGGUUCUUCUCAGUGCUAUCCCAAGGUUGCACCCACGCUCUUCCCGUUAAACUCUAGGGAUAGUGACUCAAUAAUCAUAGGCUGCUUGGCUCAAAGCUUCUUCCCUGAGCCUGUGAACAUGGCCUGGGUCAACGGUUCUGAAGGCACAGUGAGGAACUACCCAGCUGCGCAGAUUGGCAACACCUACACUCAAGCCACUGUGCUAGACUUUCCUGCAGGUCAGUGCACCGACACCAAGUCCUACCAGUGCCAAGUAGACCACUACGGAAUCAUUGCUGACCUAAUCAUUCCCUGCAAAGCACCAGCACCUAUAGUCGAGUGUAGUUGCAAAACUCCUCAAGUAUCCCUGAGUCCUCCCUCCCUGGAGAGCCUGCUCCUGGGCACAGGUGCCAACCUGACAUGUACACUCAGCGGCCUCAAGGAUGGUAAUGGAGUCAAGUUUACCUGGGAGCACACUCCAGCCCAGUCAUCAACUUCCAAGCCUAUCCAGGGAACACCUGAGAAGGACUCUAGUGGCAAGUACAGCGUGUCCAGCGUCCUGGAGAUCUGUGCUGAAGAUUGGACCCGUGGGGAUAACUUUUCCUGUACUGUGUCCCACUGUGAGAUAGAAAAUACUACCAAGACCAUCUCCAAGCUAGAAGUGAUCCAGAUACCACCCCAAGUCUACCUGCUGCCACCAUCUGCAGAUGAACUAGCCUUAAAUGAAUUGGUCUCAAUCACAUGCCUGGUGAGGGGUCACAGCCCACCGGAAGCAUUGGUAUACUGGCUGAAGGGGUCUGAGAGGGUGCCCAGAGAGGACUACAUCAUCAGUGGCCCUUACCCAGAACCAAAGGGCAACAACACCUUUAUAAUUUCCAGCAUCCUCCAAGUCUCAGCCUCUGAAUGGAAGGCAGAAAACAAAUAUUCCUGUGUGGUAGGCCAUGAAGCUCUUCCCCUGAACUUCACCCAGCAAACUAUCGACCGAUUCUCUGGUAAACCCACCAAUGUCAAUGUAUCUGUAAUCCUGUCUGAUGUCUAUGGCACCUGUUAUUGA